rnacentral:rRNA from 1 species
CUGUGAGACAGGUGCUGCAUGGCUGUCGUCAGCUCGUGUUGUGAAAUGUUGGGUUAAGUCCCGCAACGAGCGCAACCCUUAUCCUUUGUUGCCAGCGGUCCGGCCGGGAACUCAAAGGAGACUGCCAGUGAUAAACUGGAGGAAGGUGGGGAUGACGUCAAGUCAUCAUGGCCCUUACGACCGGGGCUACACACGUGCUACAAUGGCGCAUACAAAGAGAAGCGACCUCGCGAGAGCAAGCGGACCUCAUAAAGUGCGUCGUAGUCCGGAUUGGAGUCUACAACUCGACUCCAUGAAGUCGGAAUCGCUAGUAAUCGUGGAUCAGAAUGCCACGGUGAAUACGUUCCCGGGCCUUGUACACACCGCCCGUCACACCAUGGGAGUGGGUUGCAAAAGAAGUAGGUAGCUUAACCUUCGGGAGGGCGCUUGCCACUUUGUGAUUCAUGACUGGGGUGAAGUCGUAACAAGGUAACCGUAGGGGAACCUGCGGCUGGAUCACCUC